AAACGACUCUCGGCAACGGAUAUCUCGGCUCUUGCAUCGAUGAAGAACGUAGCGAAAUGCGAUACUUGGUGUGAAUUGCAGAAUCCCGUGAACCAUCGAGUCUUUGAACGCAAGUUGCGCCUGAAGCCAUUAGGCCAAGGGCACGCCUGCCUGGGUGUCACA
rnacentral:rRNA from 2 species